GAGGCAGGGCAGCUCCUACCGUCCCUGCGGCAUGCAAGGUGUUGUCAGCUCCAGGUCUCUAUGUGACCUUGGGCAGGGACAGCGGGAUGUGGAAGUCGCAAAGCAGCACACUCUGGCAUUCCCAUGAAGCAAAAGACAGGCAACCCCGAGCAGAGGAGCCCUUAUGGACUCUCUGGAAAAGAAAAGAACUUAGAAUCCAGAAAUUCUACUUGAGCUCAGACUUUCAAUCAAAGGCUCAGGGGUCACGAUAAAGCAGUUCUUAUGUGGGAUACAGCAUCUGUGAACAUCUUUAUCAAGAGAAUCACUCUUCCAAGACCUGUUCACCCCAGAGUCAUGAUUAGGAGUUCCAGGCCCGGUGGGAGACUGCAGGACUCUGAAGACGGCUCUGUUUCCCCGUCAAAAAUGCAUCUGGUUUUGCAGUCAACUUUGACCCCCAAAGCUAUAGAAGGUUGUCUCCCUGAACAUUACCAACACAAACCAUGGCCACAAAGCUGAGUUCACUGCUCACUGAAGGGAAGAGUAAUGCCACCAAGGGAGGGUUUGUCAGGAGCUCAGGGUGUGAAAGGAAAGGUCAGAAUAGAUGGAAAUUUAGACAGGAAGUUAGACUUAAAGCAGGAUUCGGUUAAGACAGAAUAACACUCAAGACACCACUAUCACCAAGGACAGAGGGAAAUACAAGGCAAGGGCUUGGAGGUAGGAGAUUCCUUUGUGUCCUGGAGAACAGACUGUCUGUGGAUGUUUUCCAUGAAGGAUUUGAUGGUCCUGUCAGGAAGUUUCUCUCAUGAGCUAUCAAACCAUUUGCAUACGUAGGCGGUUCAUGGAAAAACCAAAUUAAGCUCAUGAAGGCAGAGGACCAGCCCAAGGCCAAGCUAAUGCAGAAUAAAUUGUGUCAGAUCUGUGUCAGUGUGUCUAGACAGAGUGGGGGAGGGGGCAAAGGCUCUCAAGUAAGAAACUGCCAUAAGUGACAAA
rnacentral:lncRNA from 1 species